CCUACGGGAGGCAGCAGUGGGGAAUAUUGCACAAUGGGGGAAACCCUGAUGCAGCAACGCCGUGUGAGUGAUGACGGUCUUCGGAUUGUAAAGCUCUGUCUUCAGGGACGAUAAUGACGGUACCUGAGGAGGAAGCCACGGCUAGCUACGUGCCAGCAGCCGCGGUAAU
rnacentral:rRNA from 1 species